GGGGAUAUAGCUCAGUUGGUAGAGCGCUGCUUUUGCAUGGCAGAUGUCAGCGGUUCGAGUCCGCUUAUCUCCA
rnacentral:tRNA from 1 species